GGUCAGUGUGGUAUUUCCAUUUCUCUGCUACGUUCCUCCCACAGACUUAAUUGACCACAGGUGUGUGAAUGAGGUUCCUAAUUGCGUUGACCCUGAAACUGACCUGCAACCUGUCUGUGGUGUGUCGUUGUUUUCCACCUUGUUCACGCUGGAAUGUGUCUGCAUCUGAACUGGAAAGAAAUGAGUACUGGAACCAGAAGGAGGAGCCACACAGAUGAAGAGUUGCAGGUAACAGCCAUACACCUCCGACUCCUCAACAAGAUCCUUCUUGCCUUUGAAAUGUUGACUACCAGAUGUUCCUUGGCACCUGAGCUGACCUGGGGACAUGGAGAUCUGCCAAUGCACCAAGACUGAAGCUCACAUCUUUACACUCCUUAAUAUCUGCAGCAGGAAAUCUGCCCACCAUCGGCACCUCAGUCUAGACAAGGCUGAGCUAUUAUUUUCCCCUGGUUACAACCUGAUCCUGCAAGUUUGUUGUGACAUAUGCUGGGAUUUCGAGGACAACAGGAUGAAUGGUAAUCGGCUACAUUUAGAGAGUGCUUUUAUCCAAACCACUGUACAAGGUUUUUGUUGCUCAUUCAUACUUCCAUGCACACACUUACACACUGAUGGCAGCGAGCUGUCAUGCAAGGUGCUGGCCCGACCACUGGGAGCAAUUUGUGGUUCAGUGUCUUGCCCAAGGACAGAGAAAAAAUUAGGAUAUAAAUAAAACUCCAAAACCAAAAACAGUGGGACUGUGUAAAAUGUAAAUAAAAAUGGAAUGCAGUCAUUUUCAAACGAACUACCGACAUCUGUUUCAUUGAGUGUUCCUGAUCCCUUGUAGCGAUAUUCUUUAUACAAUCACGUGUUCAAAGUGGUGAACCUUGCAUGUUUGUGAGCCUUUUUGAGGAUGCCCUUUUCAUAUCCACUCACAAUAUUAUCACCUGCUGCCAAUUAACCUGUUUACAUGUGGAAUCUUGAACAUUUCAGAAGAAUAUAUUUACAAAAAUCAAUAAAGCUGAUAAUGUAAAUA